rnacentral:lncRNA from 1 species
CAGAAUUUGUUAUGGCUCCUUCCCUUCUCCAAGUUUUCUUGAGUCUUCUAGAAUAGGUAUACUUAAUUGGGGGCCUAUCAAUUACCCCUCCCAAUUCAGACACCUUGUCCUAAAGGUGAAAGGAAGGAAAAUUUUGGUUAAAGAGACGGAAUGGUUCCCAAGUAGCUUCCAUAGUUGAUAAUCCCUUCCACUUAAUCAGCACUUCCAAACUUUCAGAUAUUCCCUGCGACUCAUUUCUGAUUCCCAACACAGCUCAGGUUCUACUAGUAACUCCCAGUCAGCUUCCAGAUUCUAAGGUACCUGGGUGGUUAAAUGAUGUUCCCCCACCGCCUUACGCAAUUGAGAUACAUGGAAUACUGGAUGGAUUUGUGUUUCGGGUGGUAGAUCAACUGAUAAGCAACCUUCCCAACUUUAGCUAGAAUUUUAAAGGGUCCGUAGUAUCGAGGGCAAGUUUUUCAUUGAUAGACGUGCCUAGGAUUUACGGCGAUAAGGAUGCAUCUUCAAGUAGACCAUGUCCCCUGCAUGCAAUUCAAUUGCCCUCCUAUGUUUGUUAGCUCCCUUUUUCAUCUUUUGUUGGGCCCGAUGUAAAUGGACCUUGAGUUCCUCCAAUAUUCUAUCCCUUUCGACUAGUUGUCAGUCCAACGAAGAAACCACUGUUGUACCCUUUUCGAAACACAGUAUGGGAGGAGGAUCACGUCCACCUGGGAUGCAGAAGGGAGUGAGUUGUGCAGACACAUGAAAGGAAGUGUUGUAAGAGAAUUCAGCCCAUGGUAGGUAGCAGACCCAUUCGUUUGGCUGUGCAGAAGCAAAGCAGCAAAGAUAUGUUUCAACUCCUCGAUUAAGCACCUCCGUUUGACCAUUGGUUUGUGGAUGGUAGGCGGAACUGUAGCCUAACUUUAUUCCACGGAGUCAGAAUAGUUCAGACCAAAACUUGCUGAGAAAUACCUUGUCUUUGUCUGGGAAUAUCGACUGGGUUAUCCCAUGUAAUCAAACCACCUCUCUAAUAAAAAUGGCUGCAAUAGAAGUGGCCGUGAAAGGAUGCUUGAGGCCUACAAAAUGGGCAUACUUACUUAAACGAUCAACGACCACCAAAAUUGUAUCAAACUUUUCUGAUUUCGAAAAUCCUUCUAUUGCUCUGGUACUGGAAGAGGCUGCAGCAGUCCUGCAGGCGCAAGAGUAGAGUAUUUAUGCUGCUGGCAGGUUGUGCAAGCUGCAACAUAUAAGCGAAUGUCCUUCUUCAUGCCUGCCCAAUAAAAUGUCUCUGCUAUCCUCUUGUAUGUUUUAACCCUCCAUGCCCUCCUAUUUUACUGUCGUGCCCUUCUUGCAGUGCCAUCAAUAUAAAGGGAGAAUCCUAGGACACAGCAAUCAGGCCCUUAUAUAGUAAAGCCCCACGAACUAGAGUGCAUCCCGGAUAAGUUGAGGAAUUCAUCCUUAAAGUUGACAUAAUUUUUCCCUGUACCUGAUCUUCCUUUACAGCUUCUAUUACUUGUUCUAUCUGGAUGGUACUCGGUAUGCUAAGAGCUAUUAAAGUAGCUGCUACUUCUUCUAGGGACAGGGUGUUCACUGCCUUAUUCUCCAAUGCCGGUUUGUUCUCAAUGUCAAAAUCAAAACCCAAUAAUUUGGUUAGCCAUUUCUUGUAUUCGAAAUUCACCAACCUCUGUUUGAGCAUAAACUUGAGGCUUUUUUUAUCUGUUCAGACUACAAACCGCCUCCCAAGCAAAUAGUGUCUCCAUUGCUGUACUGCCAUCACAAUUGCCAUUAAUUCCCUUUCAUUAAUUGACUUAUUUUAGGCCCUGGGUGGAAGGACCUGGCUGAAAUCAGUUACAGGCCUUAGAUUUUGCAUUAAAACGGCUCCCAACCCGUGUCCGGAAGCAUCAGUCUUGACUACAAAGGGUUACAAAAAAUUUGGAAGAGCUAGAAUUAGCACUGUCGUUACUGCCCUCUUUAAUUCCAUGAAUGCAGCCUCGGCUGCGUCAUUCCACCCAAAGCUAUCUUUUUUUUAACGGUUGAGUUAACGGGCAUGCAAUUUUCUCGUAGCCCUCCACAAAACGACGGUAGUACCAGUCAAACCUAGGAAUCCCCGCAACUCCUUAAGUGAUUUCUACCGUGGCCAAUCUUUCAUGGCAGCCACCUUUAAUUCAUCUGCCGCUACUCCUUUCUUUGAAAUGAUGUGCCCGAGAUACUCUAUCUUUGUCUGCCCAAUUGAACAUUUCUUCUUGUUCGCGAAGAGCUAGUUUUCUACUAGAAUCUGUAGAACUUUUCUUAAAUGAUCUCUAUACUCCAUCUCCGUACGACUAUAAACUAGAAUGUCGUCAAAGAAGACUAACACAUACUUCUGGAGUUGUUCUCUGAAGAUAGAGUUCAUCAAGGAUUGGAAAGUGGUAGGUGCAUUUGUUAAACCAAAUGGCAUGACGAGAAACUCAAAGUGUCCUUCAUGAGUUCGAAAAGUGAUUUUUGUAACAUCCUCAGCCUUCACCCGAAUCUGAUGGUGAGAUCGAUUUUCGAGAACACAGUAGCUCCGUUCAAUUCAUCCAGUAAUUCGUCAAUAACAGGGACCGAAAACUUGUCAGGAGCAGUGACCUUGUUAGGGGCCGAUAAUCCACGCAAAAUCGCCAGCUCCCAUCUUUCUUUCUUACUAGUAGCACAGGGCUUGAAAACGGACUGGUACUAUAUUGAAUAAUUCCUGCAACCAUCAUCUCCUGUACUAACUGUUCAAUUUGGAAGUGUGGAUAUCGGUAAGGCUUCACGCUUACGGGAUUGGCCCCUGGUUUUAGGAUGAUCGCAUGAUCGUGACCUCUCCGUGGAGGUAGCUGCUUUGGAUCCUUAAAAACUGUUGAAAAUUCCUCCAAAACCUCUACAAGGAUGAUUGGUGGUUGAGGUGAAGAGCCGUUGAGUCGACCACAAUAUUUCCCAAUUCCAAUAACAGUCCUUCCCCUUGCUCCUUAAAGACUUUCCACAUUGUUUUCAAUGAGAAUGAAGUUUUACUAAUACUCGGGUCCCCUUGCAAUGUUACUGUAGUCACUGAGUGGUUGAAGGUCAUCGUCAAGGUGUCCCACUCGACCUGCAUUCCCAAAAUAACAUUAGAGCUGCCCAAAUCAAUGGGUAAGAAAUCUUUCACUAUCGACAAGCCUGGCAACUUCAACGUUAUGCCUCUGCAUAUGCCUUCCCCUUUUACAGUCAAUCCAGUUCCCAUGAUUACUCCAUAACUCUUAGUGAACGUUAAAGGAAAUCCUAACUGUUGAACUAAUUCUGCAGAGAUAAAAUUAUGGGAAGCUCCACUAUCGAUCAACACGACCACCUCUUUCUGGCCAAACAUUCCCUUCAGUUUCAUAGUACCUGGGGCGGUGAGACCCAUUACGGAGUUGAUGGGUAGUUCCACCGGCUGACCCAUCCUUUUGACUUCAUCCCUACCGAUAAAUAGCUCGUCGACAAUCUCGCCCUCACCGGAAUCCAACUCGUAGCAUUGCAUCAUCUCUCCUAGCGCCUCGCUGGCCUUCUCGAAUAACCAAAACCUGCAGCUCCUUAUUCCUACAUUUGUGACCAAUAGUGAACCUGUCAUCACACCUAUAUCAUAACCCUUUCUCUUUUUGGCUUCGAGUUCAGCGUCUGUAAGCCUCUUGAAUGUUGAAAGAUUUUGGGAAGGUAAUUAGGGCGUGGAAUGAGAGACAAUGGCACGGUGUUUCUAUUUUGGGUAUUAGUGGAUUAGGGAUGCUCUUGGGUUUUACUGGGCUGUUGUUCCAUGGGCUUUACUGGUUUAUCAAAUUCUAGUCCUCUACCAUUUGGGCUACUUCCAUUAUUUGUUCCAAGCCCAGUGGUCUAAGUAGAUGGACUUUAGCCCUAAUAUCUGGCCGCAAUCCAUUGAGAAAGUUACACUCCAAUAUCUAAUCUGAUACCUUCGUCAACGGCGAUGCCAGGGUUUCAAAUCGGUGGUACUCUAUCGGAGAGAUAGAAAUUGUGCACAAAGCGGUCCUUCUUGCGACGGUCUAAAUCUUCGCAAUAACCUGAUUUUCACUUCUUCCCAAUUCUUCAUUGGUCGGCGUUUUUCCUCCCAUUUGAACCAGAUCAGCUCUUCUCAUCGAAACACACAGCAACGACAUCCAUCUUCUCUUCCUUCGUUAGGUUAUUGGUGUGAAAAUACCUCUUAACACAAAAAACCCACCCGUUGGAAUCAGAUCCUUCAAACAUGGGCAUUUCCUUCUUCCUUAUAAGUGGCUCGAUUCUCCAACCACCGCCUGACCCUCCUCCAUCGUUGUGACCACCACUUGCCCUUGUUUGUGUUAAAUUGGAGUCAGUUGAUGAACUCUCCAUAACUGGGGCCUUUUCCUUACAGUCUUUCUCUUGAUUUUCCCAAGCACGAAACAACAUAUCGAACUUUGCCAUCAUCUUCGAGUUCAUCAUUUUAAAUUCUGAACACAGUACUUCGAGCCCUUUUUGUAGUUCGUGAUGAUUGCUAUCCACCCUUUGUUCCAACUCUCCAACUCGAUCAGCACGAGUCAUGGCUAUAUCCUGCUGAAUGUGGAUGCUUUGAUACCAAAUUAAUAGGGACUACCAAUAAUUUGCAAUGAGCAGAAGAAAAAAAAAUAAAUGACAGCAAGGAGGCUUGUAUUGAUUGAAUGAAAAAAAUGGUUACAGAAGCUGUUCUAGCCUUUUGAGAGGGCUGUCUCUCCUAAAUCUUAUUCCACGUACACAAUUGCUUCCCUAUCACCAUUGGUUGCCACUCUAUAUAUAGAUUUCUUUCUAGCUACUUUCCCCUUCCCAUUAUACCCUUCUAACGGAAUUUGUUAUGGCUCCUUCCCUUCUCCAAUCUUCUUUGAGUCUUCUAGAAUAGGUAUACUUAAUUGGGGGCCUAUCACAUUGUUUCGCAAUAAAGAUAUUUUUCAUUGUGAUAUUUAUCAAUUGGCUAAACAUUCUUGUUCUUCAUUUCAGUCUCGUCAUUAUAAAUCCUCGUCACCUUUCACUUUGAUACAUUGCGAUUUGUGGGGACCUUCUAGGAUUAAGAGUAUUUCAGGUAAACCUUGGUUCAUAACUUUUACGGACUAUCACACUAGAGUAUGUUGGGUUUACCUCUUAAAAGAUAAGUCCGAAAACUAAACAAACUUUUAAUCUUUGAUUCAAACCCAGUUCGAUGCAAAAAUAAAAGUUUUUCGAACCGAUAAUGGGCGGGAGUGCUUCAAUCAAGUAUUGGGAAAUUUUCUCAUGGAAAAAUGGAUCCUACAUCAAAGUUUGUGUGUUACGACUCUCCAACAAAAUGGAAUUGCCGAAAGAAAAAUCGUCACCUCUUUGAAACUGCUAGAGCUCUUAUGUUUACUCAUAGUGUUCUAAAAAUUUUCUGGGGAGAUGCGUUCUCACUGCAUGCUACCUUAUAAACAGAAUGCCUACAAGGGUACACACCUUCUCGACUCCAUUAACAGUUCUGUCAUGUAUACCCCCAAGUCCUAUCAAUACUUCCUAUACCUGUAAAAGUGUUUGGUUGUACUGUCUUUACUCAUAUCCAAGAUCGUAAACGUACCAAGCUCGACCCUAAAGCUAGAAAAUGUGUGUUCUUAAGAUAUUCUCCAACCCAAAAGGGUUACAAGUGUUAUUCUCCGACUACUCAUAAGUACCACAUAUCUAUGGAUGUUACUUUAUUUGAAUCUCUUCCCUAUUUUCCCCAAAAUUCCCCUAAAGGGGAGGAACACAAUAAUGAUGGGAAUUUUUGGGAAACUACACCACAGCUACCUAUAUCACCCAUAGAAGAAUCAGACUCUCCGAUAUCAAAAACAACUUCAUCCACCGAUUCACUUCCUGAUGACCUACAACAAGUUGAUCCACAACACCCUGAUUCCCUUGUACAACCAAGUUUAAUGACAUGGGGAGACAAACAACUUGCAAUAACACCAGAGCUACAUGUUUAUUCCAAGAGGAAAAAUCCUGAGAAAGUGGAAUAUCUCACAGUUCAACAGCAGAACCAUGAAUCCGUUCUGAACUCAGGUGAUUUUUCUAUCCCACAAAAUGACUCUACUAAUGAUUUGGAUGUCCCAAUUGCACUCAGAAAAAGUUAGAUUUUGUACACAACAUCCUAUCUCCAACUUCAUUGGAUACACUCAUCUAUCUAAAUCAGUUCAGCUCUCACUGUAUAUUUGUCAUUAAUUGAAAUACCAAAAUCUAUUUACGAAGCCCCGUCAAUUUCGAAAUGGGGAAAGGCAGUUGAGAAAGAAAUGACAACCUUGAAUAAGAAUAGAACAUGGCAGAUUGUGGAAAAACCAAAGGAUAAGUCAACUGUUGAGUGCAGAUGGGUUUAGUUAAAUACAAGCAGAUGGAUCGGUAGAAUGCUAUAAAGCCAGAUUAAUAGCAAGGAUAUAUUCUCAGACUUAUGAGUUGACUACUAGAAAACCUUUACUCCCGUAGCAAAAUUAAACACAUUAAGGGUUUUUUUGUCACUAGCAGCAAAUCUAGUUUGGAAACUUCGACAACUGGACGUCAAAAACACUUUUCUGAACAGUAACAUGUAAGAAGUAUAUAUGGAACUUCCACCUGGGUUUGAUGAAGGCAAGGUACACUGGAAAAAUCCGUAUAUGGGCUAAAAGAAUCUCCACGAGCAUGGUUUGGUAGGUUCAUGAAAGUUGUAUGUCAAUAAGGAUAUAAGCAAGCCUAAUCUGAUCACACUAUGUUCUACAAGAACUCGGACGUAAAAUUACCAUCCUAAUUGUUUAUGUGGAUGAUAUAGUUCUGAUAGGUGAUAACUACGAAAAAAUUAAGAGGCUGAAGAAAGCUCUUCCAACAGAGUUUGAGAUCAAAGAUUUAGGCCCUUUAAGAUACUUUCUAGGCCUGGAGGUUGCAAGGAAUAGAAAUGGCAUCUCCAUUUUACAGAGAAAACAUGUCUUGGACCUUUUAGAAAAAACAAAUAUGUUAGGAAAUAAGCCAGCGGAUGUUCUUAUAAAUCCCAAUCAUAAACUAGGAGAUUGUUUAGGAAGGCACCUGUUGAUAAGGGAAGAUAUAAGCACCUAGUGGGUAAGCUCAUUUACCUAUCUCAUACUACGCUUGACAUUGCUUUUGCAGUUAGUGUUGUGAGCCAAUUUAUGCAUGCUCCAUUAACGGAGCAUAUGGAAGCUGUUUAUCAAAUCUUGAGAUAUUUAAAAGGGACUCCUAGUCUUAAGACUUUUUUCAAGAAAGAAUUCUGAAAGAUCUAUUAAAACCUACACCGAUGCUGAUUGGGCCAGAUCGGUAAUGGACAAAAAAUCUACAAUCGGUUAUUGUACCCUCGUGUGGGGAAAUCUAGUCAUUCGGAGAAGUAAGAAGUAACCAGUUGUGGCCAGGAGCAGCACUGAAGCAGAAUUUAGAGCUUUGAUACAUGGAAUUUGUGAAAUAAUGUGGCUAAAGUUACUGUUGGAUGAACUUGGUGUUCAGGGGAAUAAGCCAAUAAAAGUUUAUUGUGAUAACAAGGUAGCUAAUGCAAUGUCAUACAAUCUUGUUCAUCAUGACAGGACUAAACAUAUUGAAGUAAAUAGACAUUUUAUCAAAGAGAAGAUAGAAAAUGGAACAAUAUACAUGGUGUACUUGCCCUUAUCAAAACACGCUGCAGACUUAUUGACAAAGGGGUUGUUUAAACCCAUGUUUGAAAAAAUGGUGGACAAGCUGGGAUUAUUUAACUUGUAUCAUCCAGCUUGAGGGGGAGUGUUGAAGAUCUCAAAAUAUGGAUGUAGAUUUGAUGAUUUAUUUGUUACCUUAUGUACCGGUUUCAUUAUAGACAACACAUAUAUUUUUCCUUAUUUGUAGAUUUAGCAUAUAUUUGAAUUUGGUAGGUAUUCUAGUCCUAUAAAAGGUUGUACUCAGCUGAGGCUAAUGUAAAAAUUAAAUUCUUGUUUUUUGUGGUCUUUCCAUUCCAUUACUCUCCUUGGUUUCACAAUUAUCAUUCAAUCAAUACGAAGCAAGUUAUUUCAAUAUAUUUCUUAUUUCAGUUCUUAUUACAAGAAUUAUUAAUGCUUCCCCAUCAGUUCUUCUAUCCACAAUACGAUGGUUGAUUUCUUUUACAUUCAACCAUAUCUUAUUAAUUAUCAAUCUCAGGUUGCAGUUCUCUCUUUUGUUAUGACUCAUUGAAAGUACUCAACUUUGUUAUUCCAUUUGGCUUUUCCGUUUAAUUUGUCCAUGAAGUUCAUAGACACCUCUUUUUUAGAUAUUGAAGGGUUCAUUUGCCUAUUUUUGUUUUUUUAAAGCUAUAUUUUUUCCAUUAUUAUUGUUUUUUUUUCUUCCCAAAUGGCUUGUUUGUGAAUGAUGCUCUCCUCAUUUUUAAAAGUCUUAUAUGGCUGGUAUGUUCAGUUAUUUGGCUUCGUUCUGCAGUCAUUGAAAAUUGAGACCUUAAUAUUGUGAAAGUUUUUUCAAGGAAAAAAAGUUGCUCAAUUGCAUAUACAUACUGGAGAUUUGGGUUUUUAUUUUCUCAUAAUAUCAGAAUAUUAUUUUUGUAGUUCAUUCUUGUUGUUGCACGAUGAACUUUUCUAUCUGCAGAGAUGUUGAGGCUGGAACACCGAUGAAUGAUAUCCUAUUCAAUUACGUAUUUGAUCUUGUAUUGCACCUACGGAAGGUUA